UUCCAUUGCUUGCACACGCUG
rnacentral:miRNA from 1 species